UACAGAGGGUGCAAGCGUUAAUCGGAAUUACUGGGCGUAAAGCGUGCGUAGACGGUUACAUAAGUCUGCUGUGAAAGUCCAGGCUCAACCCUGGAAUGCCGGUGGAAACUGUCGGGCUCGAGUCCGGAAGAGGCGAAGUGGAAUUCCUGGUGUAGCGGUGAAAUGCGCAGAUAUCAGGAGGAACACCAAUGGCGAAGGCAGCUCGCUGGGACGGUACUGACGCCUGAGAACGCGGAAAGCAGUGGGGAGCAAACAGGAUCAGAUACCCAG
rnacentral:rRNA from 1 species